rnacentral:lncRNA from 1 species
UUAUUUCACCAAAUCAACCGCCCCUCCCUUCUAGUAGUCCAUCUCUCUCUCUCUCUAAACCCUAAACCCCCAAAUCCUCUUCAUUUUCUUCUUCUUCUUCUUCUUCUUCUUCUUCUUCAAUCAUCCCUCUUCCCCAUCUACAUUCCUCUCAUCCUUCUUCCAUUAACGUAUGAUACUCACCUCUCGCCUCUCUUUUGUUUUUGUAUUUUUUUGUAGUAUAUGCUAGUUUAAUGUUGUUAUGGUGUAGUAAUUAUUAGUAUAUUUUUGUUAGCUUAUUCUUAUUUUUUCUUGUGAAUUUCACUUUUUAGAAUGGUUGGUGAAAGGGAUGUGUGUUUAAUUUAGUGGAACGUUUUAUGUAGGUGUUGAAUGAAUUGUUGUGGGGUGUGAUGGUGUAGUAGAAUUUUUCAUUUUGGGUGGUGUUGAUAUAUUCACAUAGGCAAUGUACAUGAAGUAAUUUGUCUUGCCCACAAGGUGUUUGGGGAAUUACCCCAAUGGAGUUAUAAGGGGAUAAUGUGACAUGUUUGUGGUGAAGUCUGAGUAAUGACCCAUAGUGAUACAUUUCACACACUUACUAAUGGGUGUUUCUCUGUUUGACAGGUACAAUGAGUUCAUCUAGAAUGAGAUGCAACACCGAGUCCUCCUCUAGUGGACCGGAAAGCUCCUUGAGAGUUAGGAACCAGGAAAGUGCACCACAGUUUGACAACACUAGGUUUGUCUCCAAAUCGGCGGAGGACAGAUGCAAAGCCAAGGCAACAAAGAAAUUAUUACAUGAGGUGCACAUUGAC